rnacentral:rRNA from 1 species
CCUACGGGAGGCUGCAGUGGGGAAUAUUGGACAAUGGGGGAAACCCUGAUCCAGCGACGCCGCGUGAGUGAAGAAGUAUUUCGGUACGUAAAGCUCUAUCAGCAGGAAAGAAAAUGACGGUACCUGACUAAGAAGCCCCGGCUAACUACGUGCCAGCAGCCGCGGUAAUACGUAGGGGGCAAGCGUUAUCCGGAUUUACUGGGUGUAAAGGGAUCUUAGACGGUAAUGCAAGUCUGGAGUUAAAGGCGGGGGCCCAACCCCCGGACUGCGCUGGAAACUGUGUAACUGGAGUGCAGGAGAGGCAGGCGGAAUUCCUAGUGUAGCGGUGAAAGGCGUAGAUAUUAGGAGGAACACCAGUGGCGAAGGCGGCCUGCUGGACUGUAACUGACGUUGAGGCUCGAAAGCGUGGGGAGCAAACAGGAUUAGAUACCCGUGUAGUC